GCUGACAUGCCCUGAGAAAGGAACAACUGGGCUCUUUAACUGCCCAGCUAUAACUCAAGUGGAAAAUCAGAAAGCCAUGAUGAUACCUUCACUGUAGCGCUUUUCUCCAGGGGUCAUAGGGCUGCUGUGUCUGGGAUUGAUUACAAGUAAUCAACUUGUAAUCAAGUUGAGUCGGGACACCAAUUAAACGCUUACCUACACCAGAUCUGGUAUGCAAUGGCUCUAAUGGAGAAACUGUGAGACCAUGCUACAUGAAGUGGCCACAUUGAGGCAGAACAAAAAUGAGGAAGCCAAAUAGUUUUUAGAACCUACGACCUGAGCUACUUUAGCAAUUGGGAAGGGAGGGAGAAGUCAUUCAUGAAAGGAUAAAAGUGGGACCACAUUAAGCAUUAAGGACAUACAACAUGACCAAUUGCUAGUACAUGACAAAAUUGAAAAAAAGGCAGGAAGAAAAAGGGUCACAGGAUGGAGGACAUCAGGCUAUGAGUGAAGUUUACAGAAACUCUUGGCUUGUACGUUCAACAGUAUAAAUCUACCAAGUGGUGUCAUUUUAAUUUCCAUCACCCUCCCCUCCUGGUGCAGCUAGAGGGCUUGUCCUGACUGAUGGCUCCAUCAGUAACAAAAGGAGGGUUUGGGCAACAAUACUGGAUACUCUUUGACA